rfam:Pseudomonas fluorescens SBW25 complete genome
GAACGCAGGCUUGAAUCCGUGGGUAACCCGGCAGGACGCCGGGUUAACCGCCCCGCGCCAUGGAUGGCGCGUGGCGGCGGCCCACGGAUUCAAGCCGGAGUGA